AGAGUUUGAUCCUGGCUCAGGUUGAACGCUGGCGGCAGGCCUAACACAUGCAAGUCGAGCGGUAGCACAGAGAGCUUGCUCUCGGGUGACGAGCGGCGGACGGGUGAGUAAUGUCUGGGAAACUGCCUGAUGGAGGGGGAUAACUACUGGAAACGGUAGCUAAUACCGCAUAAUGUCGCAAGACCAAAGUGGGGGACCUUCGGGCCUCAUGCCAUCAGAUGUGCCCAGAUGGGAUUAGCUAGUAGGUGGGGUAACGGCUCACCUAGGCGACGAUCCCUAGCUGGUCUGAGAGGAUGACCAGCCACACUGGAACUGAGACACGGUCCAGACUCCUACGGGAGGCAGCAGUGGGGAAUAUUGCACAAUGGGCGCAAGCCUGAUGCAGCCAUGCCGCGUGUGUGAAGAAGGCCUUCGGGUUGUAAAGCACUUUCAGCGGGGAGGAAGGCGUUAAGGUUAAUAACCUUGGCGAUUGACGUUACCCGCAGAAGAAGCACCGGCUAACUCCGUGCCAGCAGCCGCGGUAAUACGGAGGGUGCAAGCGUUAAUCGGAAUUACUGGGCGUAAAGCGCACGCAGGCGGUCUGUCAAGUCGGAUGUGAAAUCCCCGGGCUCAACCUGGGAACUGCAUUCGAAACUGGCAGGCUAGAGUCUUGUAGAGGGGGGGUAGAAUUCCAGGUGUAGCGGUGAAAUGCGUAGAGAUCUGGAGGAAUACCGGUGGCGAAGGCGGCCCCCUGGACAAAGACUGACGCUCAGGUGCGAAAGCGUGGGGAGCAAACAGGAUUAGAUACCCUGGUAGUCCACGCCGUAAACGAUGUCGAUUUUGGAGGUUGUGCCCUUGAGGCGUGGCUUCCGGAGCUAACGCGUUAAAUCGACCGCCUGGGGGAGUACGGGCCGCAAGGUUAAAACUCAAAUGAAUUUGACGGGGGGCCCGCACAAACCGGUGGGAGCAAUGUGGGGUUUAAUUCUUAGGCAACGCCGAAGAAACCUUUACCUGGUGCUUUGAGAUCCACAAGAAAUUUAUUCAAAGAAGGUUUUUGUGGCCUUCUCGGAAAAUGUUGAAACAAGGGGUCGCAUGGCGUGCCGUCACCCCCCCGGUUUGUGAAAAUAUUUGGUGUUUAUUUCUCCCCACCAAAGGCGAACCCCUUAUUCUUUUUGUUGCCCCCGGGUUAGGGCCGGGAAACUCCACAAAGGAAAUGGCCGCUGUUAAACUUGGAGGGAAGAGAGGGGAUGACGUCAAGUCAUCAUGGCCCUUACGACCAGGGCUACACACGUGCUACAAUGGCAUAUACAAAGAGAAGCGACCUCGCGAGAGCAAGCGGACCUCAUAAAGUAUGUCGUAGUCCGGAUUGGAGUCUGCAACUCGACUCCAUGAAGUCGGAAUCGCUAGUAAUCGUAGAUCAGAAUGCUACGGUGAAUACGUUCCCGGGCCUUGUACACACCGCCCGUC
rnacentral:rRNA from 1 species